rnacentral:lncRNA from 1 species
GUCCCAGCCCUCACAGCAGGCUGUGAGCUCACACAUGUGCCCCCUCCAGGCCUGGCAAACAGGAUAGGUGCCUGGGUCAGGCCUGGUAAAUAGGAUAGGUUCCUGGGUCAGCUGCACCCUCCCUAGGUCUUUCCCUCCCACUCGUUCCCUGGGGCUGGCUCGCCCGCCCAGCUCCCCUGCUCCACACCCAGCUUUCUCAGCCCAGAUGCUAACUGACAUGCCCUGAUGACCACUCAGGGUCGCCGCCACUUCCUUCCCUGACUGAUGCCUGGGGUCCCAGGCUCUCUGUGGCUGGAAGGCAUGGCAGUGUCAGGCUCUCACCUGUAGGUGGCAGUAUAGGAGAGAGAUGUGAGAGAUGAAGGCUGGAGAGGUCACCUGCGCCCAUCGUGGUGCCCGGGAUCAGGCUGGCUUACACCUAGGAUGGGUCCUGUUCCACUGGGCUCCUUACCCUCACUUCCUCUUUUGAUGUCCUGUCUGAUUCCUCCCUCCUAAGUCCCCUCCACCCCACCACCUAGCUCCCCAGAUGCCCCCACCCCCACCCUGCGCCCCAAAUUCCUGGGGUUGGGAAAUCAGAACACUUUGGCACCGACCUCAUCCCAUUUCUUCCUCCCUCCCUGAUGCACGGACUCCCUCUCUGUUUCGACACAGACACUCAGACUCACAAUUACAGCUCAUUACCCUAUCAGGUGGUUGGAUCUGAGUCACUGUGGGGAGGGACCCUGAACCGCCCAGCCCUGCCACCUUCUCCCAAGCUACACUAUAAGGAGUAGUGGUGUGGAGGAGGACUUUAGGAAGACAAGGGCAUCUCGGGAGGGAGAGAGCAGGCUGCAGUCCCAGAGGGAGGGCAAACAAGAAGCCAGAAGGAAGGAGAGAAGGGAGAGGGGCCGGCAGACAUCAGGGAAGCGACAGGGCCCGAAAAGGAACCCGGGUGGAAAGAAGACACUCAGGAGAGAGGAAGAGAGGCAGAGAUGAAGCGAAAGGGGUCUCUGGCCUGCCUCCUGCUGUUCCUGCUCCUGGGCAGUGGAGAGGCUAGCCCGAUGCAGAGUGGAGAGACCGACGCUGCAGGAAAAGUUGGGGAAGCCAUUGUACACGGGGUGGGAGAGGGGGUGGGAGAGGCCUUGGGAGAAGCCGCCAUCCAAGGAAUCGAGAAGGCCAUUGGCCAAGGGACUGGAGAGAAAGCGAGCUUGGGAAUCAGGGAGGCCAGGGACCCCCACUUGGGGGAUGCUCUUGCCCACAAGCUUAAGGAAGCGAGCCACGCUCUUAAAAACACUGGGAGCGAGGCCGGCAGACAGGCUGAAAAUAUCAUCGGACACGGAGUGGACCCUGCCCACAGCUCCUGGCAGGGAGUGCCCGGCAGCAACGGAGCUUGGGGAACCAAUGGGCAGCCUCCAUCUGGACACCACGGCAUCCCUGGCUCUCAGGGCAGCUCUGGAGGCCCAGGGGACACCCACGAGCACGUGUUCUCUGGAGGCUCAGGUGGCAGCUUUGGAGCUAAUGCUCAGGGAGGCUCCUGGGGCCAGGGAGGCCACAGAGGGCCAUUCAACCCAGGGGCCAACUCUCAGGGAACUGCGCCCCAACCUGGUUCAGUGAGAAGCAGCAGCAACGGAAAUACGGAAUGCACCACCCCCCCUGGCUCAGGUGGAAGCUCUGGCAACUCUGGGGUAAGAGCAGGGGGCAACCUGAAGCAUUUUUGCCCCAGGAGGAGACAGAGAAACUCUACUCCUCUCAAACUGGGUGGGAAAUACUCCUGAGGGAGGAGGGAGAGGGAGGAAAGCCUUCUCCCCUGGAGUUCUCAUCUUUAGACCUCACUCUGGUCUCUUGGCUCAGACGGUAAAGAAUCUGCCUGCAAUGAGGGACACUGGGGUUGGAUCCCUGGGUGGGGAAGAUCUCCUGGAGAAGGCAAUGGCUAUUCACUCCCGUCUUCUUGCCUGGAGAAUCCCAUGGACAGAGGAGCCUGGCGGGCUACAGUCCUUGGGGUCGCACCGAGUCGGACAGGACGCAAGUGACUGACGCUGGUCUCUUCCCGCUCCUCAGGGAAGCAGCAGCAGUGGCUCCAGCAGUAAUGGCGGCGGCAGCAAUGGCGGCGCCGGCAGCAAUGGCGGCCCCGGCAGUAACAGUGGCGGCAGCAGCAGCUCCGGGUCCAGCUGG